GAUGAACGCUGACAGAAUGCUUAACACGUGCAAGUCAACUUGAAUUUGGGUUUUUACCUUAGGUUUGGGUGGCGGACGGGUGAGUAACGCGUAAAGAACUUGCCUCACAGCUAGGGACAACAUUUGGAAACGAAUGCUAAUACCUAAUAUUAUGAUAAUAGGGCAUCCUAUAAUUAUGAAAGCUAUAAGCGCUGUGAGAGAGCUUUGCGUCCCAUUAGCUAGUUGGAGAGGUAACGGCUCACCAAGGCGAUGAUGGGUAGCCGGCCUGAGAGGGUGAUCGGCCACAAGGGGACUGAGACACGGCCCUUACUCCUACGGGAGGCAGCAGUGGGGAAUAUUGGACAAUGGACCAAGAGUCUGAUCCAGCAAUUCUGUGUGCACGAUGAAGUUUUUCGGAAUGUAAAGUGCUUUCAGUUGGGAAGAAAGAAAUGACGGUACCAACAGAAGAAGUGACGGCUAAAUACGUG
rnacentral:rRNA from 1 species